UGGUGUAAUGGAUCAGAUGACUUCCGCAUGCGGUGAAGCCAACAAACUUCUAGCAAUGAUUUGUCAGCCUGCCGAGGUGUUGGGUCUAGUGGAUAUUCCUGGUCAUAUAAGAGUAUGGGGGAUUGAUUCAGGAAUAAGGCACAGUGUUGGAGGUGCAGAUUAUGGAUCUGUGAGGAUUGGUGCAUUUAUGGGCCGAGAGAUCGUCAAGUCUAUUGCGUCAAAACUAUUGUCACAGUCCUUGUCAACCAAUGGCAGAUACCCUGAUGAUUCAGAGGAAGGUGGUGUCGAAUUACUAGAAGCUGAAGCUUCAUUAGAUUACUUGUGCAACCUUUCACCGCACAGAUAUGAGGCUAUGUAUGCCAAGGUGCUUCCUGAUUCUUUAAUUGGUGAGUCAUUUAUUGGGAAGUAUACUGACCACCGUGAUCCGGUAACGACAAUUGACAAAACACGUAAUUAUGGGGUCAGAGCAGCUGCCAGACACCCUAUUUACGAGAACUUCCGUGUGAAGGCCUUUAAAGCACUGCUAACAUCUGCGACUUCAGAUGAUCAACUGACCGCUCUUGGAGAACUAUUGUAUCAGUGCCACUACAGUUACAGUGAUUGUGGACUAGGUUCAGAUGGGACAAAUAGGCUCGUCCAACUAGUUCAAGAAAUGCAGCACAGUAAGGUAUCAAAAUCUGGAGAAGGGACAUUGUAUGGUGCAAAAAUUACAGGCGGAGGAUCUGGUGGAACUGUGUGUGUAAUUGGCAGGAAUUCGCUUAAGAGCAGUGAACAAGUUCUCGAGAUACAACGCAGAUAUAAAGCUGCAACAGGAUAUUUGCCUAUUCUUUUUGAAGGUUCAUCUCCUGGCGCUGGAAGGUUCGGCUACCUAAAAAUCCGUCGUCGCAACCCUCCCAAGCAGAAUUGAACUCUGAAAAUUAGCUGGAAAAAAAAAAGAGUGGCAUCAAUACAUCAUUAUUAGAAUUCCACUAUGUAAAACUUUCUACUCUGGACUUUCACAUAUGUAAUUCGAAUCUGAAUUUCCACUAUAUCUUCAAUAAA
rnacentral:misc_RNA from 1 species